rnacentral:rRNA from 1 species
CCGUCGCCAGCAGCCGACGGUAAGUACGGGAGGGUGCGAGCGUUAAGUACGGUAAUUACGUGGGACGUAAAGCGCAUGCAGGCGGCCUGUUAAGUCAGAUGUAGAAACGGCCCGGGGACCUUUAACCGUACGGUAAGUUGCUAUUUAGUAAACGUGGCGAGGCUAGAGUCUUGUAGGAGGGGGGUAGGAAUUUCAGGUGUAGCGGUGAAAUGCGUAGAGAUCUGAAGGAAUACCAGUGGCGAAGGCGGCCCCCUGGACAAAGACUGACGCUCAGAUGCGAAAGCGUGGGGAGCAAACAGGAUUAGAUACCCUGGUAG